rnacentral:rRNA from 1 species
CAGCCGCCGCGGGAAUACAGAGGGUGCGAGCGUUAAUCGGAUUUACUGGGCGUAAAGCGUGCGUAGGCGGCUUCUUAAGUCGGAUGUGAAAUCCCUGAGCUUAACUUAGGAAUUGCAUUCGAUACUGGGAAGCUAGAGUAUGGGAGAGGAUGGUAGAAUUCCAGGUGUAGCGGUGAAAUGCGUAGAGAUCUGGAGGAAUACCGAUGGCGAAGGCAGCCAUCUGGCCUAAUACUGACGCUGAGGUACGAAAGCAUGGGGAGCAAACAGGAUUAGAUACCCGCGUAGUCCCUGUCUCUUAUAC